GAGGGUAUAGCUCAGUGGUAGAGUGCAUGCCUAGCAUGCACGAGGCCCUGUGUUCAAUCCCCAGAACCUCCA
rnacentral:tRNA from 1 species